UUUAAAAUUAAAUAAAAGUUGUAUUCCAUAAAACUUAAGUUAAAAGUUAAGCUGUAAGAAUUUUGGGAACUUUACUAACGCUAACAAAUCAAAAUGUGUAUUAAAGAAAGUAUAUUGUACAAGACAAUUAUUUCAUUCAAAAGCAGUCCUACGGAACAUUUCUAUGAAAGUCACCCUGAUGAGGAGGAGCCAACUGGAGACGAUGAAGAAAUUACUAUUUAACACCGUAGCUUAAAUCGCUGAAGACAUUACGCUUAUUACAACUUAAUACAACUAAUAUUUAUAAUUUAUUUUAUAACUUAAAUUACUCAUAAAAUAUAAAAUAAAGCAACAUAAAAAUUAUUUGUUUUAUUGUAAACCAUUUAUUUUCAUACCAUUGUUGUGAUUGUGGUUUAUAUUAUUUUAUUACAGUUAUAAUAUUAAAUAAGAAAACAA